AUAUAAGUAAAAAAUUUAUUUUUUCUUAAUUAAUUCUUAAAAAAAUUGGGUGUACAUCUCUUACCCUUCCCACAAUUAAUUAUGCUACUGAAUGUUCUUAGAUUCUUCAAAUUACUAAAAGUUUCAAGCAGUGAUUUAAUGAAUACUUUCAACAAUUUUAAUGGAAAAUUUUUAUUUAUGAUACAAUUAUUUUUGUUUUUUACUCGUUGAAACUUAAAAUUGUAAUUUGUAUGGCAAUAUAUACAGAUAGAUGUAUUAAAAUGUGAUACUUAGAAACACGGUAGUAAUAGUUCAUUAAGAGCACAAUCGAAAAUAUUUUUCAAUUUGGUACACGUGGAGGAUAAAUGCUACUAAAAAAAGGAAAGAAAUUGGUGUAAGGAUUUAAUUUAUAAUUGAAAAAUGGAGCUCUAUCACCAUGACGAAAAAUCUGUAAAUAAAAUUGAGAAAAAGUUAUAAAGAGUUUAAAGAUACACUUAUAUUAUUAUGAAUCCAUAGUAAAUCAACAUAAUACAGUUUUAUAAAACAACGAAAUUAUUGAAUAAUAGUGACAUAGUUUAAAUAGUAAUUAUAGUUACAAUAAAACUUACCACUACUGCAAAUUUUAAAGAAGAAACUGCUGGACGAAUACUUCCAUCUACAAUAGCUAAUACUACUAAUAUAUUAUAGGCUAAACGAACAGUUCAUUAAACAAUGAAAAUACAUUCAGUUGCGCUUCAUCUCCAUCAAUCAUAGGGUAAGAGUACCAGUUAUGGCCAUUUUAGUAUUUAAUGUGGUAAUUUGGUAUUUGAUCAAUAAGUUAUAGUACUUAUUCUAGGAUCAAAUGAAUUUUUAUAAUCACAAUUAUGAGUUUUGGAACAAUUGGUUACAAACAUUUUAAAAAUACUUCUAAAACAUAUAAAUUUAUUUUGUGGUCACAAGUGGUACAGUAUACAAUACCGGCGCAUUCAUUAUGACUAUUGCAAAAUAGUAUAUUGUUUACGUAUGAAUAUUGUGAGAUUAAAUAUUCAGAUCAUUAAAUAUUACCAAUGAUUAAACUAACAUUUCUACUCUAUAUAAUGAAAUUAUACUAAAAGCCAAGACUAUUCUCACAAAUAAAAAUAGCAUUUGAAAUAUCAUUAGUAAGUAUAUUAAUGUUGUUGUUUAAUUUUUUCUUUUUUAUUUAUUAAUAUAUAAUUUAAUUAUGUUGUUUGUAUUAUCACAUUGUUUUUUUUUGUUAUUUAUUAAUCAUUUAUUAUUUAUUUCUGUAUUUUUUUAUGGAUAUUGUAGGUUUUUCAUAAAGUAUAGCAUAAAAUGUUUUAUUUUUAUUUAACAUUAAAUAUAAUACUUUAUUAUUACAUUGUAUUAUAUUAUUUUAUUUUUAAGCAAAAUAAUAUAGAAAAAAUAAAACAGUGAAAGUAGUAAAGUUAAAAAAAAAAUUUUGUGCAG